rnacentral:rRNA from 1 species
CGGUAAUACGGAGGAGGAAGCUCCGCCCGGAAUCACCGAGCCAAGAAGUCCGUAGGCUCUCAGAUAGAUCAGUGCUGAGAGCCCAUCGCUCAACGGUGGAACGGCCAUUCAUACUGUCUGACUUGAAUUAUUAGGAAGUAACUAGAAUAUGUAGUGUAGCGGUGAAAUGCUUAGAGAUUACAUGGAAUACCAAUUGCGAAGGCAGGUUACUACUAAUUGAUUGACGCUGAUGGACGAAAGCGUGGGUAGCGAACAGGAUUAGAUACCCUGGUAGUCCACGCCGCGGGCGAUGGAUACUAGCUGCUGGGAGCAAUCUCAGUGGCUAAGCGAAAGUGAUAAGUAUCCCACCUGGGGAGUACGUUCGCAAGAAUGAA